CUUAAAUCAGUCCUCCUCCUCCUUGGAGGAGGAGAUCCCCAAGCCAAACUCAGCGAGCCUCUCGUUGAUGGCCGAUCGCUGUCGAUCUUGAGGAAUCGCAGUGUGUCGUUGGAGAGGGUGGAGGUGUGUCCGGCUGCCUCGUGCUCAGCCAUGGCUCCAGUGCUCGACGCCUUGAAAAGGCAAGUGUUGCACUGCAGCUUCAGAUCGGAGUGUUUGCCUUUCUUUUUCGAUUUCUUAGGGCCCUAGGUUGUGCACAACACAGCUUGUUUACUCAUUUCUCUAUUGAUAAAGUUUAUAAAAAUACAUCAUCACUUUAAGAUAAAUUUUCAUCCAUUUGUUUCACUUAUAAACAGUGACAUGGGAUUUGCUUCGCACAUUGGUUCUCCGUGCAUGAUUUCUAACCUUUGUGAUUGUUAGCUCAACUAAGCUCAAGAUCCUUGACUCACCCGGUUCAAGAUCCUCGAAUCGCUCCUUCUAAUGGCCGCUUCCUCUUCUUUUACUCAAUCUUCAUCUUCUUCUUCCUCAUUAGGUGCAUUGGUCGCAUACCUCGCCUAUUCUUUCAGGGUAUGAUAGGGGACUUAUUAAGGCUAGCAUCAGUUAUAUAUAGGUCAUUGGUGAGAAAGUGAAGGUAUCGGGUGUUCGUAGGCAUUGUAUUAAUCUGGUGGUGGCUUAUGUAACUCUGUGGAAUGUUAACUGGAUAAGGUUUGCUUGCUCUGUCCAUGGGAGCCAACAUACAUUCAAACUCUUCGACAUUGAUUUGCAGCACAAUGUAAAUUGGACAAGGGAAUGAUUGAUCAUUUUAUUGCCCACAAUCCUGUAUGUUACUGAUUUGUAGAACUUUGACCUCAAGAGGAUUGAAUAUAUAGCUAAUAAGAACAGGUUGAGUCCACUGUAAGUUAUUUUGUGCUAUCAUUGCCAACUAAUAUUAGGUCAUCCAUAAACAUGUAGUGAUGUUCCUAAGUUUAUCCCUCCUAAGUUUGUGCAAAGUGAUAUGCUUGUUACACGUUGAGAAUAGAGAGUUUGCGUAAAAUAUAAAUGCAUAUGUAACAAGUGAGAGGGGUAAGCUUGGAAGACUGGCAAUCCAAAUUGGCCUAGGUCCCAUUCCCCAAAUAAUACUAAUGAGUAAUGAUCGUGUCGAUUAUUAUGAUAACAAGUAUAAUAAUAUUUGAUGUAAUGUGCACUGCUAGGGAUCGAUGCUCAACAAUAACUAAAACUGGAAGAAUCCAAAAUGUUUCAUUCUAGCAUGUGAUCCUAGUGAAGGUUCUACUAAAAUGUAGACUAAGGAAUUGAAACUAAAUUACUUUAUACAUUAUAUUAGAAAGUGGACUGUAACCUGUAGGGUCACGAGACAUCAUUGUAUGCUAAGGUUUGUUCUACUGCAAUAGAUAGGCUUUUGAGGAUGUUAAAGCUUAUGUUCAGAAUGGUGUAUUUUCAGUUGGUUUCAUAUUCAUUCAUCGAUUUAUUUUUGUUUCACUUUUAUCCCGUCUGUAUUUUUAGGUUAAAUCACUUUUUAAGCCCUCUCUCAUCAAGUCCCCAUGUUAUCCUGAAUGAAGUUUUAAGGUUUCUUUCAUUUUUGUUGUCUUCUUUUCGCCUAGUCUUCUCUAGUUCAUCACUUGCUUACUUCGAUUUGAAGGUAAGUGACACGUAUGAACUUGACCUUGAAAGUUGUAGUUGAACAGGCAGAGAUUGGGUGACAGAAUUUUUUUUCCUUUCUUUUUGAACAUUUCUCUGAGUUUAUUUCAACUGCAUUAUUCACGCAAAUAUUGUCAUGUAGUGACCUUGUUAAUUGGAUUACGAAUGACUUCUGGUUUGCACGCCACUAAUGAUCCUCUACAGGAGUGAGAAUAUGAAAAACUUGCAAUUCAAUUUAAUCCAUCGAAAAUGACCUGCUUAAGGCCAUGCUAAACACUAGUUUCAUGCCUAAUCAAAUUUUGUGAAGCAAGUGUCUUCCACUGUUUUAGUUUAUGUGCCUCACCAUGAAAAUUUUCCCAUUUUGUCAAGCCAAGAUUUUAAAAUUUUUCUGCAUUACAUUACGUACCUAAUCUUAGAUUUUAUUGCCAAUUUUAGUGCUUAUUUACUUUGUAUGCCUGACCAUGGCUUUUCUAUUGCCAAAACAAAAUUGUAUGAUUUUGUUGACACGCUUGUGUGCAUGCUUCUAUUGUCAAGCCCAAAUUCUAAACUGUAAAGGGGGAAGAAUAAAGAAGGAAAGUUGAUACAAAAAACGGUCCAUAAUAGUAUAUAAGACCUCUUGAACAAUUUUUAUUUUAAAAAGAGUUUUUUCCUCUGCCGAGUAGAAGUGUAGAUUUAUUCACGUCCAAAUAGCAAGGCUCUAAUAACGCCUAAGGCAAGUGUUGUAGCAUGUAAUGAUGUUCUAAUUAACCAUCCAUCGGUAAAAUUUUGUAGAUUUUUUGUACACAACCCAUCUAUUUUUCUCAGGGGUGAAAUUGCUUGCUUUGCUUCUAUAAUUUUUCUAAUAUUUCGCUUUUAAUAUAAUAUACUUAUUGUGCAUUUCUUUUGUGUAUUGCAGGUGUUCUAUAUCCGAGGUAUAAUUGAGCUCAUCAUCAGGACUACUUUCCUUGGGAUAUAUCUUCUGAUUAGUAUCACUUGUUCUUUGUGUUUUCAAGUACUCUUGUCACGAUGUAAUAUAGUAAUAGACACAGUUUAUGUGUGGAUUUUAUCUUUGCCUUUAGCUUGUGUGUAGAUUGUAAUCUAGUAACUACUUUGGUGCUCAUAUAUCUCUUGGCUGUUACUUUCUUCUUUAACUGAAAAGCAUGACUGUAGUAUUAUGGAGCUAUAUAACUGAGUUGUUUUAGCAUCUUAUCUUGUUGAAAAUCUGAGUGUUUGGUCA